rnacentral:misc_RNA from 1 species
UCCGGUUUGUCACCGGCAGUCUCAUUAGAGUGCCCAACUAAAUGUAGCAACUAAUGACAAGGGUUGCGCUCGUUGCGGGACUUAACCCAACAUCUCACGACACGAGCUGACGACAGCCAUGCAGCACCUGUGUUACCGCUCCCUUUCGGGCACUCCCGCAUCUCUGCAGGAUUCGGUACAUGUCAAGGGUAGGUAAGGUUUUUCGCGUUGCAUCGAAUUAAUCCACAUCAUCCACCGCUUGUGCGGGUCCCCGUCAAUUCCUUUGAGUUUUAAUCUUGCGACCGUACUCCCCAGGCGGGCAACUUCACGCGUUAGCUGCGGUACCAAAGAAUUGCUUCCCCAACACCUAGUUGCCAUCGUUUAGAGCGUGGACUAC